rnacentral:tRNA from 1 species
AUUUAAAUAGCUUAUUUAAAGCGUGGCUUUGAAGAAGCCCAGAAGAACAUAAAAUCUUUAAAUA